rnacentral:rRNA from 1 species
ACCUCGGAGAGUUUGAUCCUGGCUCAGGACGAACGCUGGCGGCGUGCCUAAUACAUGCAAGUCGAGCGGACAGAAGGGAGCUUGCUCCCGGAUGUUAGCGGCGGACGGGUGAGUAACACGUGGGUAACCUGCCUGUAAGACUGGGAUAACUCCGGGAAACCGGAGCUAAUACCGGAUAGUUCCUU